rnacentral:rRNA from 1 species
UUAUUAGAACAAAACCAAUCGUACUCCGGUACGUCACCUGGUGAAUCUGAAUAACUUAGUCGAUCGCAUGGUCCUAGCACCGGCGACGCAUCUUUCAAGUGUCUGCCUUAUCAACUUUCGAUGGUAGUUUAUGCGCCUACCAUGGUUGUAACGGGUAACGGAGAAUCAGGGUUUGAUUCCGGAGAGGGAGCCUGAGAAAUGGCUACCACAUCCAAGGAAGGCAGCAGGCACGCAAAUUACCCACUCCCGGCACGGGGAGGUAGUGACGAAAAAUAACGAGCCAAUCCUCUAUGAGGCUUGGCAUCGGAAUGGGUACAAUCUAAAUCCUUUAACGAGGAUCUAUUGGAGGGCAAGUCUGGUGCCAGCAGCCGCGGUAAUUCCAGCUCCAAUAGCGUAUAUUAAAGUUGUUGCGGUUAAAAAGCUCGUAGUUGGAUCUGCGGUUCAGGAGAGCGGUCCCCCAGUGGGUGUGUACUGCUUGUUCCUGACCUAAUUCUUCUGGUUGGGCCUAGUUGCUCUUGACUGAGUGGCUAGGUUGGCUAGAUCUUUUACUUUGAAAAAAUUAGAGUGCUCAAAGCA